AAACGAAUGCUAAUACCGGAUAUUAUGAUUGGGUCGCAUGAUCUGGUUAUGAAAGCUAUAUGCGCUGUGAGAGAGCUUUGCGUCCCAUUAGUUAGUUGGUGAGGWAACGGCUCACCAAGACGAUGAUGGGUAGCCGGCCUGAGAGGGUGAACGGCCACAAGGGGACUGAGACSCGGCCCUUACUCCUACGGGAGGCAGCAGUGGGGAAUAUUGGACAAUGGACCAAAAGUCUGAUCCAGCAAUUCUGUGUGCACGAUGAAGUUUUUCGGAAUGUAANGUGCUUUCAGUUGGGAAGAAGUCAGUGACGGUACCAACAGAAGAAGCGACGGCUAAAUACGUGCCAGCAGCCGCGGUAAUACGUAUGUCGCAAGCGUUAUCCGGAUUUAUNGGGCGUAAAGCGCGUCUAGGCGGCUUAGUAAGUCUGAUGUGAAAAUGCGGGGCUCAACCCCGUAUUGCGUUGGAAACUGCUAAACUAGAGUACUGGAGAGGUAGGCGGAACUACAAGUGUAGAGGUGAAAUUCGUAGAUAUUUGUAGGAAUGCCGAUGGGGAAGCCAGCCUACUGGACAGAUACUGACGCUAAAGCGCGAAAGCGUGGGUAGCAAACAGGAUUAGAUACCCUGGUAGUCCACGCCGUAAACGAUGAUUACUAGGUGUUGGGGGUCGAACCUCAGCGCCCAAGCUAACGCGAUAAGUAAUCCGCCUGGGGAGUACGUACGCAAGUAUGAAACUCAAAGGAAUUGACGGGGACCCGCACAAGCGGUGGAGCAUGUGGUUUAAUUCGACGCNACGCGAGGAACNUUACCAGCGUUUGACAUCCCAAGAAGUUAACAGAGAUGUUUUCGUGCCUCUUCGGAGGAACUUGGUGACAGGUGGUGCAUGGCUGUCGUCAGCUCGUGUCGUGAGAUGUUGGUUAAGUCCCGCAACGAGCGCAACCCCUUUCGUAUGUACCAUCAUUAAGUUGGGGACUCAUGCGAGACUGCCUGCGAUGAGCAG
rnacentral:rRNA from 1 species